rnacentral:lncRNA from 1 species
AUGACCCUGCGGAAACCAUGUGACGGGUACAGAGGAGCCUUAUUUCUAAAAGUGACGCCGCUUCAACUACACCCUGACCGGCGGCAUGGUCGUCAUGAUCAUGGUAUCCGUAGUGCUGAUGUUUGCGGUGGCAAUCAUCCUUUCCCGGGUGAUUCUGAGCAUCAUAAUCUACAAAUCUCACAAUGCCUUCUUGAUAUUUUCUGUGAUUCCCCUUCUAGACCCACUAUUAGAAACUAUUUUUCUACCAUUAACAGGACAAUGAUUAAUACAUUAUGUUUGCUUGCUGUAAUUACAUGUAGUAACAAAGUUCUGAAGACGAUUGCGCUCUCAGACAACAUACUGGAGAAAAAAAAAUAUUUGAUGCAACAUUGCAUUUGGCCUUUUUAUUAGCCCAUAGAAACACAUUUAUUAAUAGAUUCAUACAUAGAAACAGAUAGUCCAAAAAAUAAAUCAAAAGGAAGUAUGUUUUGUGUCUGUCACAUAUCUGAGAGAUACAGUAUACUGUAAGAAAAUUAAAAGAAAAAAUAAAUGUCACUGUGGAAUUAUCUGUAACACUUUUGACAUGAAAAUGCUCCUUUCACUUUCAUUCAUUUUUCGGUCCAGUACCGGUGUUGUGUCUUGGACUAUCAUUAACGUGGAGACUGUUACAUUAUCAAAUCAAUUCUCGAUGUGUAAUUAUUACGUGAUUCAACUAAUCAUGUAAACAUUAAUUAACUAGGAAGUCGGGACACUGCGGGAAAAUGUUGUUUAAAGAGUUACUAUUUCCCAAAUUUAACUCUCUUCAGAUAUUUUCAUAUCUUAAAACUUCUUGUGACUCUCAAACCCGGAUCCGGGAGCGUAAUCAUCGCCUGACACGAAUUAGCAUAACGCAACAGACAUAAAUCUUUCUAGAAAAUAUUCCUAUUCAUAAAAAUCACAAGUGAAAUAUAUUGGAACACAGCUUAGCCUUUUGUUAAUCACCCUGUCAUCUCAAAAUAUGCUUUACAGCCAAAGCUAGACAAGCAUUUGUGUACGUUUAUCGAUAGCCUAGCAUAGAAUUUUGUCCAGCUAGCAGCAGGUAACUUGGUCACGGAAAUCAGAAAAGCAAACAAAUUAAAUCGUUUACCUUUGAUGAGCUUUGGUUGUUUUCACUCACGAGACUCCCAGUUAGAUAGCAAAUGUUCCUUUUUUCCAAAAAUAUAAUUUUUGUAGGCGAAAUAGCUCCGUUUGUUCUUCACGUUUGGCUGAGAAAUCGCCUGGAAAUUGCAGUCACGAAAACCCCGAAAGAUAUUCCAAAUUAGCUCCAUAAUAUCGACAGAAACAUGGCAAACGUUGUUUAUAAUCAAUCCUCAAGGUGUUUUUCAAAUAUCUAUUCGAUAAUAUAUCCACCGGGACAAUUGGUUUUUCAGUAGGACCGAUUGGAAUAAUGGCUACCUCUGUAUUUUAGGCGAGAAUCACUCUGGGAGCCAUCAGCCAUCAUUCUUCCACAUAAAUGCGUAAAACUACGUCACAAUGCUGUAGACACCUUGGGACAUACGGAGAAAAAGUAAUCUGGUUGAUAGCCCAUUCACUGCUCAAUAGGGACGCAUUGGAACGCAGAGCUUUCAAAAGAUGAGUCACUUCCGCGAGAAAUCUUUUGAAAGCUCUGCGUUCCAAUGCGUCCCUAUUGAGCAGUGAAUGGGCUAUCAACCAGAUCAGUGUGUCAAAUCGGAGACCCUGGUGUCCGGACCUCUGGCAAUCUCUAUUGGGGUACCACAGGGUUCAAUUCUCGGGCAGACUAUUUUCUCUGCAUUCAUGAAUGAUGUUGCUCUUGCUGCUUGUGAUUCUCUCAUCCACCUCUACAUAGACGACACCAUUCUGUAUACUUCUGCCCUUGUUUGGACACUGUGUUGAUAAACCUUCAGAUGAGCAUCUAUAUGGUCUCUUUCCGUGGCCUCCAACUACUCAUAAAUGCAAGUAAAACUAAAGGCAUGCUCUUCAACCGAUCGCUGCCCCCUCCCGCCCGUCUAGUAUCAUUACUCUGGACAGUUCUGACUUAGAAUAUGUGAACAACUACAAAUACCUAGGUGUCUGGUUAGACUGUAAACUCUCCUUCCAGACUCACAUUAAAACCUUUUAAGGAUCGAAUACUUUUUUUUCAAUCUUUGAUAAAAUUACAUAGCCACAUCUAAAUGCCUAAAUCUGAUUACAUUCUGUUACUUUUAGAUUCAUUUCCCCUUAAGAGGCAUUAGAAGAAGGCAGGAAUGUAUGUUACCAAUUGAACAACAUCUAUUGCAGGAUAAAUCCAUUUUAAAGUUUACAUGGCAUGUUACAUUUUACUUUGUUGGUUAUGCAGGCCUUUUCUAACCCGUCGCUUUCUACUACAUAUUAAAUUAUAUCUUUACAUAUAAAACCAAAGUCUAUCAGAAUUCCAGUCAUUCCAAUACAUGCUUGAUCUUCAAGAAUAGGACUUGGAAAUAUGGAAGUAUAGAUUAGCCAAAUUGCUUUGAACCCAAAUAUAAGGAUUUAUUAGCCAGCCUUACUCUGUUGUUUAUGAUUUUGUUGUCUUGGAGGACUGAUUGAGCUCAUUGAUUCGAGGUGAAAAAUAAAUGCUGUGCUCCUGGAAUGGCAUGCUUUGAGCACUACAGAAAAGUGCUACUUACAUGUGAAAAAUGAAUGCCAUGUGCUGCAUUUGUUAGAGGAUUAUUGUUUACCUUUUUGUUGGUGACACUGAUAUCUUGAUAAUAUGCAGCUGUUUAAAAGGACAAAUCCACAGAUGAAACAAUAACAAAACGGCUACCCCACCUCUGUUUUGGUAAAAGGGAUGGGCCUGGAGAAAUGUAACCACUCUCAGAUUAAUAGACAGAGCUAUGGAUGCAAGGACUGACUUUCCAUAAUAUCAAAUGUAUUAUUUUAACCAUAUUUUGAGGCUGUACAGUGUUUACAUUAACAAUAUUUACUAUCAGGUAUGAAGGUAAGACCCAGACGUAGACAACGUCGAAUUAACAAUGGUUUAAUAAUCCAACAGGGGCAGGCAAUAGACAGGUCAAGGCA